UGUUUCAUGUUGAGUUACUUUUACGGAAAUUUUGUCCCGUUGAUAAUAAAAUUAUUAUCAACGGGACAAAAUUUCCGUAAAAGUAACUCAACAUG
rnacentral:pre_miRNA from 1 species